CACACAUUGUGCACCGCGGGACCCCACCAGCUACGGCGCGAAGGCACAACUCUCAAGGACAUCGUAAACUGGGGCAGAGAACUUCCUAGCUUCCCACGGCUACAGUAGACAAAGAAGAAUCUUAACUGAAAAUGGAGAUGACAGCUUCCGGUUUUACCUACUACUUAUCCUCUGCGUGACUAUAAGUUUCCCGACUCAAGAACUUCCAUAGACACAUGAGUGUUUGCAAUGGUGCUUACAAGUGUGUGCAUUUCCAUGGUUUUACAAAGUUGGAUCUCCUCUAGUUCAAGAGUCAUGGGGAACCUUCCAGGGCAUAGUGUACACCGGUAAAGAAGUCAUACACCAAGAACCUCACUCUACGAAGACUUAUUUCACUUGUUCAUUUUAGUGGAGAAAAGGUCUUCAACGGUUUUCUUGAAGUCAUUCCAGGUGGUCUUCAUAAGGCAGCUUCGUUAACAAUUCUAUUCAUCUCUGUAUGACGAGAACAGCGUAUUUAAUGACAUUUCAAAGAGACACUACGGUGAUAAACGAUAAACAACAUCCAACGUAUAGAGGUGCUUUAAUUCUACAGGGCCCAGCCCAGCCAUGGACACGGUGUUCUUUCUCCUCCUCACCCCCUUUCCACCUCCCUCCUCCCCCCUCAGGAGCACAGGAUGUCAGUGGGUCAACAGCCCCUCUUUCUUCUCAUCACAGGGAGCUGAAAAACACUGUGUCGAGAUGGCGUACCCCCUACUAGACCUGGCCACAUCGACCCGUGCCACCAACCUGGCCCUCUAAUGGAAGUCCUGGGCAUCCAGAUGCCUCUCCCUGCCUCUGCCUGUCCCUCCCGCCUCGACGGGGGCGUCAAGUAGGGCACUACUCUUCUUCCCAACCAGCAGGCACCCUCUACCAUUCUCAAACUCCAUUCCUUCUCCCCAGGCCAGCCUUUUUGGGAACAUUACAGGCAGAUGUGUUCAGAUGAGCAUGUUCUAAUUUAUUAGCCAGGUUAAUGCUCGGCCAGAGGCCCUGGAGGAUCAAUGGUUUUAUUUACCUAAAAUGCCUGCGUGGCGAGAGGCGGUUCACAGGGCAGUUUUAAUACCGCCAGCACCCCAGUGUGUCCCAGUGAGGACUGGGCCGUAUUGAUCGCACCACACUGAAAGUACGUGCACCUUUUGGGGAAGGAUCUAUUUGUGUCACCCUGGGCUGAGAUGAGGGCUCCGCCGGAGGAGGAGAGAGCCCAGCCAAUGGAGGAUGCCAAAAACAUCAAAACAGCCAUGUUUACAGAUUACCCAAAGGGAAAGCAAAUUACUCCAAUUAUGCAGGCUGUGGGAAUACUGAUAUCAACAUACCUGCUAUUUCUCCCAGAGACACAACUUAUAUCAGGCUGGAACACAAACAAAAACAGCACACUGUUCAUUUGAGUUGAUAGCUAAACUGCAACAAACAUGGUGUGGUUGGUUUUAACGAAGCAAAGAGCUGCACAUCAUAUGCAUAGAAAAUCAUUCGUUGGCUACUAACUCUACCUCAAGUCACGAACACACAGUUGAUUUAUUGGUGAACAUCAUUAAACGAUGCCAACUGAUCACCUGAAAAACACCCUUACAUGCUUCCCAGAAAAUGUGACAAGAUCUAUUGUAAUAUUGUAAUACAUAUCUGUUCAUACAGAAUGCAUUUACAGAUGAUGGCCUUUGUUGUGGGCUGUAUGUGUGCCAUAUUUAUAACACAGACCGUAAUCGUCUAAAUCCUCUUCUGUUCCCCUGAGAGACCAGAGAGGAUGUUGUCAUGUCCAAUUAUCUACACUAUAGAGGUAAAUCACAACUCAUGUCAAGUCUACAAUAUUCGCUCGCACACACACACAGAUGUACACUCAACAAGGCCAAGUUGCAGAGGACAACAGAUAUUAAUAUUGAUAGAAUAUUGGAAUACACAUUCUCCUGAGGUGCUCCUGGUCAUGUAUGAAUUGGACAGGCAGAUUGGAUUGGCUGUGUUUUUUCUAAAGAUAGAUUGACGUAGACGGUUUUGAGGAGCUAGACCGAUAGAUAGAAAUUGUUUGUGGAGAAACUGUUAUGUUUAUGGAUUUUUGUGAUGGCAUGUAGGGAUUUAAAUGUAUGGCAGAUCAGGAAUACAAUCUCCUUCUGAUUGUAGGUCAGAAGAAUCAAUUGAUGUGCUUCCAGGUCACCAAGUUCCCCAACAUCUAAUAUCCCAAGUUCAACAGUCAACUAUCAUAACAAUGUUUUAUCUUUCAUCAUCCUGCAGGUUGGUUUGUGAGGGUUGCUGGUGGUUGGACUCUAUAGAGGGUAGGGUACAUUAGCCGAGAAGAACCUAGCCCCAUCUCACCCUGAAGCGGAGCAGAGCUCCGGCCCAAUAAAGCAGGCUGCCUCCCCAGGGCCCCUCUGUCAAGCCUCCAGUCAGCGCUUGUUUUUGCACCAUUUAUUUAGUGUGACACAUCUCCAAUUAAACUGUGGAGGCUGGUGCAUUUCCCCCAUAACUACCUCUUAUUCCUCCCCAUAGACUUUCUGUCACACUGAGAGACUGAGAGAGAGAGAGAGAGAGAGAGAGAGAGAGAGAGAGAGAGAGAGAGAGAGAGAAAGAAAGAAAGAGAGGAGGGAGAGAUCACAUCUUGCCUGCUAGCUAUAUGAUGACAAUGUCAUUUUCCCCUCAGUGGUUACAAGCCUCGCCUGAAAGGUGCCUUGAAUUAUAAUUAUCAAAAUAUUGAACAAGAUUAUGAUCCUCUGAAAUUAUACUGUCACCUUAAUGUUUGCUUUGCCACCCGUUGACACUUCUAUAUCUCUUUCCUUAUUUUCCAUGGAUCAAAAGGUAUUGAAUUAACACUGAUUAGAUUAUUACAUGAAAUAUUGUGAGUUGUAGGUUGUAAGAUACAGAAAAUUAUAUCUUAACUUCAUGCCAAAAACAAGUGCCAUUACUGCUACAUGUAACAGUCAUUCUUGCCAUACUGUAAAUAAAAACUUCCAACAAUUCACCGUUACCUAAAGAUUAGCAGGCUCAGACUAAACAGUGUUUAGCCUACUCAUCAAAAACCCUUUGCGGGGUUACUUUCCUCCACUAUCCUAUUGUGCUCGAAAAUUUGACUGUGAUGUGUCCGUCUUGCUGAAUUGUUAAAGUGCCCAAAAGAGAUCCGACGGUAUAUGACGGGUAUAAGGAAAGUAUUCCUCCCACCCCAUCCCCUCAUCAUCUCUCUGUCCCCUGUGGCACCAGACAGUCACAGGAGGAGUGACUUUGUACGACCCCGUUCCCGUCUGCAAGUGCGCAGCUGAGGGUGGCAGUUGCCAGGGAGGGCUGGUGGGGGAGCGCCCAAAACGGUGUGUCAGCCAAGUAGAGGGGCUAGGGGGAGCCCCAGUGACAGCUUGGAAGGGUGGGGUGGCCAGCUGUGGAGGGGCAGGAUGGUGCUGGGGUGACUGGGAGAUGCCACCAGACCUUGAGCACUGCACAUAUACAUGCGGCACACACACGUACACACAGUCUACAUGCAGAUCAUUAUAAAGGAGCGCAAACACGUUUAAGAUUUCUCUCUUACUGUCUUUCUCUUAGUGUCUGACAUCUAUAAACACCCUCUCUAACACACAAACACAUCAGCACCAGGGAAGGGUCAGGCAGUGGCCCUCUAACACCAUGUCCAGUCUGGUCACGUGCUCCGGACACACAUCUGGUGAACCAUCUGUAGCUCUCCCCCCUACUGUGCGUGACAGGUAGUCCCUCUGGAGGGGGAAGGUCAUUUUUGGUGCAAAAGUACCCGGGACUUCUGAUACAUCUGGAAUGCAGGGUGUGGUGGGAACUUACUGAGCUAAAAGUGUACAGUAAAUACAUGAACAGAUAUUCAAAACAAGAAAAUCACAAAGUAAACUUAGACAACAUUGUCUAUGUCGUUGCAUUUGAAGAACAGGGACAUUUGAAGACAAUUGCAUAAAAAUCCAACACAAGUGUAUUAAAAAAAUUCAAGCA
ensembl:lncRNA